rnacentral:rRNA from 1 species
GACGAACGCUGGCGGCGUGCUUAACACAUGCAAGUCGAACGGAAAGGCCCUGCUUUUGUGGGGUGCUCGAGUGGCGAACGGGUGAGUAACACGUGAGUAACCUGCCCUUGACUUUGGGAUAACUUCAGGAAACUGGGGCUAAUACCGGAUAGGAGCUCCUGCUGCAUGGUGGGGGUUGGAAAGUUUCGGCGGUUGGGGAUGGACUCGCGGCUUAUCAGCUUGUUGGUGGGGUAGUGGCUUACCAAGGCUUUGACGGGUAGCCGGCCUGAGAGGGUGACCGGCCACAUUGGGACUGAGAUACGGCCCAGACUCCUACGGGAGGCAGCAGUGGGGAAUAUUGCACAAUGGGCGGAAGCCUGAUGCAGCAACGCCGCGUGCGGGAUGACGGCCUUCGGGUUGUAAACCGCUUUCGCCUGUGACGAAGCGUGAGUGACGGUAAUGGGUAAAGAAGCACCGGCUAAAUACGUG